rnacentral:lncRNA from 1 species
AAUCUCAUGCCUUCGAGCACUGAGAAACAUAUGGUAACCUUCCCACAGGUUGGGAGGUUUUCCUCACACACACCCCUAAUUUUACAUUAUUUGAGGCUUACAAAAACUAGGUUAUAAUCUGCUAUUUAUAACCUAAACACCCAACUGGAUUUGGGCCUUCAGAAAUCGCAGCAAACCUCUCCUUUGCUGUUACAAAGCCAGCAGAAAACUUCUGC